AGUUUGAUCCUGGCUCAGGAUGAACGCUGGCGGCGUGCUUAACACAUGCAAGUCGAACGAUGACUUUUGUGCUUGCACAAAAUGAUUAGUGGCGAACGGGUGAGUAACACGUGAGUAACCUGCCCUUAACUUCGGGAUAAGCCUGGGAAACCGGGUCUAAUACCGGAUACGACGGAUUCCCGCAUGGGGGUCCGUGGAAAGCUUGAUGCGGUUUUGGAUGGACUCGCGGCCUAUCAGCUAGUUGGUUGGGGUAAUGGCCCACCAAGGCGACGACGGGUAGCCAGCCUGAGAGGGUGAACGGCCACAUUGGGACUGAGAUACGGCCCAGACUCCUACGGGAGGCAGCAGUGGGGAAUAUUGGGCAAUGGGCGAAAGCCUGACCCAGCGACGCCGCGUGAGGGAAGAAGGUCUUCGGAUUGUAAACCUUAGUUAGCAGGGAAGAAGAAAGUGACGGUACCUGCAGAGAAAGCCACGGCUAACUACGUGCCAGCAGCCGCGGUAAUACGUAGGUGGCAAGCGUUAUCCGGAUUUACUGGGUGUAAAGGGUGCGCAGGCGGUUUAUUAAGUCUAAGAUGAAAGCCCGAAGCUUAACUUCGGUUUGUUUUAGAAACUGGUAGACUCGAGUAUGGUAGAGGCAAAUGGAAUUCCUAGUGUAGCGGUGGAAUGCGUAGAUAUUAGGAGGAACACCGGUGGCGAAGGCGGCUUACUGGGCUUUUACUGACGCUAAGGCACGAAAGUGUGGGGAGCAAACAGGAUUAGAUACCCUGGUAGUCCACACUGUAAACGAUGAUUACUAGGUGUAGGGCGGCUAAACCGUUCUGUGCCGGAGUUAACACAAUAAGUAAUCCACCUGGGGAGUACGGCCGCAAGGUUGAAACUCAAAGGAAUUGACGGGGGCCCGCACAAGCAGUGGAGUAUGUGGUUUAAUUCGACGCAACGCGAAGAACCUUACCAGGACUUGACAUCCUGAGAAGACUGGGUAAUGCCGGUUGUGCCCUUCGGGGAACUCAGAGACAGGUGGUGCAUGGUUGUCGUCAGCUCGUGUCGUGAGAUGUUGGGUUAAGUCCCGCAACGAGCGCAACCCUUACGGUUAGUUGCUACGCAAGAGCACUCUGGCCGGACUGCCGUUGACAAAACGGAGGAAGGUGGGGAUGACGUCAAAUCAUCAUGCCCCUUACGUCCUGGGCUACACACGUACUACAAUGGCGUCCAACAAAGGGGAGCCAAGGAGCGAUCCGGAGCAAAUCCCAAAAAGACGUCCCAGUUCAGACUGCAGGCUGCAACCCGCCUGCACGAAGUUGGAAUUGCUAGUAAUCGUAGGUCAGCAUACUACGGUGAAUACGUUCCCGGGCUUUGCACACACCGCCCGUCA
rnacentral:rRNA from 1 species